UACGAAAGGUCCAAGCGUUAAUCGGAAUUACUGGGCGUAAAGCGUGCGCAGGCGGUUCGCCAAGUCAGGCGUGAAAGCCCCGGGCUUAACCUGGGAACUGCGUUUGAUACGGCAGGGCUAGAGUUCGGGAGAGGAGAGUGGAAUUCCCAGUGUAGAGGUGAAAUUCGUAGAUAUUGGGAAGAACACCGGUGGCGAAGGCGGCUCUCUGGACCGAUACUGACGCUGAGGCGCGAAAGCGUGGGGAGCAAACAGG
rnacentral:rRNA from 1 species